rnacentral:rRNA from 1 species
CAGCCGCCGCGGUAAUACGUAGGUGGCAAGCGUUGUCCGGAAUUAUUGGGCGUAAAGGGCUCGCAGGCGGUUUCUUAAGUCUGAUGUGAAAGCCCCCGGCUCGACCGGGGAGGGUCAUUGGAAACUGGGAAACUUGAGUGCAGAAGAGGAGAGUGGAAUUCCACGUGUAGCGGUGAAAUGCGUAGAGAUGUGGAGGAACACCAGUGGCGAAGGCGACUCUCUGGUCUGUAACUGACGCUGAGGAGCGAAAGCGUGGGGAGCGAACAGGAUUAGAUACCCCUGUAGUCCCUGUCUCUUAUAC